AACUUACCACUACAGACAUGAAUUUUGUACAUAGCAGAGCAGCUCCCUCACUGUGAUCUAUUGAGAAUCAGCCCUCAACACAAGCUUUUG